GGCGGCGUAGCUCAGCUGGCUAGAGCAUUCGGUUCAUACCCGGAGAGUCGGUGGUUCAAGUCCACUCGCCGCUACCA
rnacentral:tRNA from 1 species